GACGAACGCUGGCGGCGUGCUUAACACAUGCAAGUCGAACGGAAAGGCCCUGCUUUUGUGGGGUGCUCGAGUGGCGAACGGGUGAGUAACACGUGAGUAACCUGCCCUUGACUUUGGGAUAACUUCAGGAAACUGGGGCUAAUACCGGAUAGGAGCUCCUGCUGCAUGGUGGGGGUUGGAAAGUUUCGGCGGGUGGGGAUGGACUCGCGGCUUAUCAGCUUGUUGGUGGGGUAGUGGCUUACCAAGGCUUUGACGGGUAGCCGGCCUGAGAGGGUGACCGGCCACAUUGGGACUGAGAUACGGCCCAGACUCCUACGGGAGGCAGCAGUGGGGAAUAUUGCACAAUGGGCGGAAGCCUGAUGCAGCAACGCCGCGUGCGGGAUGAAGGCCUUCGGGUUGUAAACCGCUUUCGCCUGUGACGAAGCGUGAGUGACGGUAAUGGGUAAAGAAGCACCGGCUAACUACGUG
rnacentral:rRNA from 1 species